UGAGGUCUUCGGAUCGGCUUCGGUUAGCCGGAAACGGCCCACUGUUGCUGAAAAGUUGAUCAAACUUGGUCAUUUAGAGGAAGUAAAAGUCGUAACAAGGUUUCCGUAGGUGAACCUGCGGAAGGAUCAUUACCGAGCUGUCGACGCGAGCUGUUGCUGGCUCCCAAACGGGGGCAUGUGCACGUUCCGUCAACACAUCCACUCACACCUGUGCACCCUUUGCGGUUCUGUGGUCUGGGAGACCCUCGGUCUCUCUGCCGCGGUUNUGCGUCUUUACACAUACGCCGUAGCAAAGUCUUGUGGAAUGUGUGCCGCGUUUAACGCAAUAAAAUACAACUUUCAGCAACGGAUCUCUUGGCUCUCGCAUCGAUGAAGAACGCAGCGAAAUGCGAUAAGUAAUGUGAAUUGCAGAAUUCAGUGAAUCAUCGAAUCUUUGAACGCACCUUGCGCCCCUUGGCCAUUCCGAGGGGCAUGCCUGUUUGAGUAUCAUGAACACCUCAACUCUUUACGGUUUGCCGUGGUGAGCUUGGACUUUGGAGGCUUGCUGGCCCACGGUCGGCUCCUCUCAAAUGAAUCAGCUUCCCAGUGUUUGGUGGCGUCACGGGUGUGAUAACUAUUUACGCUCGCGGCAGCCUGCCUCGUAACCUUCGGAGACGGAGGUUCGCUGGAGCUCAAAAACGUCUCUCCUCAGCGAAGACAGCUUUUUAACGUUCGAUCUCAA
rnacentral:rRNA from 1 species